GACGAACGCUGGCGGCGUGCUUAACACAUGCAAGUCGAACGGAAAGGCCCUGCUUUUUUGGGGUGCUCGAGUGGCGAACGGGUGAGGAACACGUGAGUAACCUGCCCUUGACUUUGGGAUAACUUCAGGAAACUGGGGCUAAUAUCGGAUAGGAGCUCCUGCUGCAGUGUGGGGGUUGGAAAUUUUCGGCUGUUGGGGAUGGACUCGCGGCUUAUCAGCUUGUUGGUGGGGUAGUGGCUUACCAAGGCUUUGACGGGUAGCCGGCCUGAGAGGGUGACCGGCCACAUUGGGACUGCGAUACGGCCCAGACUCCUACGGGAGGCAGCAGUGGGGAAUAUUGCACAAUGGGCGGAAGCCUGAUGCAGCAACGCCGCGUGCGGGAUGACGGCCUUCGGGUUGUAAACCGCUUUCGCCUGUGACGACGCGUGAGUGACGGUAAUGGGUAAAGAAGCACCGGCUAACUACGUG
rnacentral:rRNA from 1 species